rnacentral:tRNA from 1 species
GGAGAGAUGUCCGAGUGGCUGAAGGAGCGCGCUUGGAAAGCGCGUAUACGCCCACAAGGUGUAUCGAGGGUUCGAAUCCCUCUCUCUCCGCCA